CCUACGGGAGGCAGCAGUGAGGAAUAUUGGUCAAUGGGCUUACGCCUGAACCAGCGAAGUCGCGUGAGGGAAGACUGCCCUCUGGGUUGUAAACCUCUUUUGCCAGGGAGAAAAGCCGGCUACGUGUAGCCGGACUCCGAGCACCUGACGAAAAAGCAUCGGCUAACUUCGUGCCAGCAGCCGCGGUAAGACGGGGGAUGCGAGCGUUAUCCGGAUUUAUUGGGUUUAAAGGGGGCGUAGGCGGAAUGCCAAGUCAGCGGUAAAAUCGCGGGGCUCAACCUCGCUCCGCCGUUGAAACUGGCGUUCUUGAGUGGGCGAGAAGUAUGCGGAAUGCGUGGUGUAGCGGUGAAAUGCGUAGAUAUCACGCAGAACUCCGGUUGCGAAGGCAGCAUACCGGCGCCCAACUGACGCUGAGGCACGAAAGCGUGGGUAGCGAACAGGAUUAGAUACCCGGGUAGUC
rnacentral:rRNA from 1 species